UGCAAGUGCAACGGUCGUAAGAAUUUUUCCCGUCAAUUUAAAUUCCACAAGACUCAAGGGAUGAGUGUGAUCAUUAGUGGAAUUGGUCAUCAUUUUGAGUGUUUGGUUACUUUUUUUUUUGUGAAUAUUGAUCAUAUUGUUGGUGGUAAAGUUUGGUUCUAUAUUUUUCUUUGUCAAGAAAUUUGGUUUCACGUUUUUAAAUUUUAAUUAUUGUUGGGUUUUUUUUUUCCUUCUUAUUU
rnacentral:lncRNA from 1 species